GUGGGGAAUAUUGGACAAUGGGCGAAAGCCUGAUCCAGCCAUGCCGCGUGUGUGAAGAAGGCCUUCGGGUUGUAAAGCACUUUAAGCGAGGAGGAAGGUUCGUCACCUAAUACGUGACGGAAUUGACGUUACUCGCAGAAUAAGCACCGGCUAACUCUGUGCCAGCAGCCGCGGUAAUACAGAGGGUGCAAGCGUUAAUCGGAAUUACUGGGCGUAAAGCGCGCGUAGGCGGUUGUGUAAGUUGGAUGUGAAAUCCCCGGGCUUAACCUGGGCACUGCAUUCAAAACUGCACGGCUAGAGUAUUGGAGAGGAAGGUAGAAUUCCAGGUGUAGCGGUGAAAUGCGUAGAGAUCUGGAGGAAUACCGAUGGCGAAGGCAGCCUUCUGGCCAAAUACUGACGCUGAGGUGCGAAAGCAUGGGGAGCAAACAGGAUUAGAAACCCCGGUAGUCC
rnacentral:rRNA from 1 species